rnacentral:rRNA from 1 species
GUGGGGAAUUUUGGACAAUGGGCGCAAGCCUGAUCCAGCAAUGCCGCGUGAGUGAAGAAGGCCUUCGGGUUGUAAAGCUCUUUUGUCAGGGAAGAAACGGUGAGGGCUAAUAUCCUUUGCUAAUGACGGUACCUGAAGAAUAAGCACCGGCUAACUACGUGCCAGCAGCCGCGGUAAUACGUAGGGUGCAAGCGUUAAUCGGAAUUACUGGGCGUAAAGCGUGCGCAGGCGGUUGUGCAAGACCGAUGUGAAAUCCCCGGGCUUAACCUGGGAAUGGCAUUGGUGACUGCACGGCUAGAGUGUGUCAGAGGGGGGUAGAAUUCCACGUGUAGCAGUGAAAUGCGUAGAGAUGUGGAGGAAUACCGAUGGCGAAGGCAGCCCCCUGGGAUAACACUGACGCUCAUGCACGAAAGCGUGGGGAGCAAACAGGAUUAGAUACCCCAGUAGUCC